AAAAUUUUGCUGGGCUGUUUCUGCUUUGUUGGGUAUUGAAAUGAUAAGAGUAAUUAAAAAUGUAACUAUUGGGGAUAAUACAAGAGACGGUUAAAUUGAGAGAGAAAAAGUGAUAGGAAAAUUAGGGGGACCAUCGAGUGAAUAACUCUCUUUCUCUUCUGUUUUCUUCAGUUUCUCUCUCGAGAUGCCCAACCUCUUCACUCUUCAUCUAGUACUCUUUAGCGAGUAUAUAUAACAAUCACAUAAUAAAUACUUACUCUAAG